rnacentral:sRNA from 1 species
GGUUUUAACCCAGUAACUAAAGGUACGCUGGAGUUCCGACCAUUCGAAAGAGUGUGUCGAUCAACUUUAAUUUUGGAACCGCUCUGCUGGGGUUAUCCGGCGGAGCAAA